UAAUCACUUACAUAACUAAAAGGGCUCUAGAAGGUAACAAAGUUAUGUUACAAUUGUAAUCGAAAUGAUAUGUAACAUAGAAGUUGGAAUGUUCUAUACCAAACACGUAAAAAUCACUUACAUAACUGAAAGGGCUCUAGAAGGUAACAAAGUUAUGUUACAAUUGUAAUCGAAAUGAUAUGUAACAUAGAAGUUGGAAUGUUCUAUACCAAACACGUAAUAAUCACUUAUAUAACUGACAGGGUUCUAGAAGGUAUCAAAGUUAUGUUACAAUUGUAACCGAAAUGAUAUGUAACAUAGUGGUUGAAAUUGGCCCAAACCGCUUGAAGCACUGUUAGGGUCUUAGGGAAGUCAAAGUCUCAAAGUGGCCAUUCUAAUGAUGAGCUAUAAUGGCAUAUGAAGGUACAUCAAGGUUGUUAAUACAAAAUUUUUUUUCUUAUCCAUAAAAUAGGUACACCAUCUUUUGCGCAGUCUCGUACUGUCGUGAGAGUCGUGAGACGCCAUUUCUAUCUCCUAUGUGACACGCUGUUGAUGAACGGAAUUUUUGUGGUGUUUAUCUACGGUUUUUUGUGAGAAGAGGUAAAAACUUGUUUCUUUUUGAUGUUAAACCGUUAUUUUCUAAUACAAUUAAUUCAUAUUACCUAUUUCGUUAGGUGAAGUAUAUCUGAAAAGAAGUACGCAUAUACCUCUAGUGAAAAGUAAAGGUUAACGGCUACGGGACACAUAACCUCAACCUCGACCUCAACAGUCAACUUCAAGCGAAAGAUAAAGUUCUUUUUGACGCUAUAUUGAAAUAAGUCGGUGUUGUUUUGGUUCAGUGUUUGUAUGCCGUUCGGCAAACUUUCCCCGACACUAGCGAAAGUACCAUUGAAUUGAAGGUGGGUGAGUGGUUACGCUUAAGCACGCUGAGACAGUCAAGAGAAAAACCUCUCCAAAAUCAAUAAUUUUAUUAUAUAUUAUUAAUGAAUAUUUGAAAUGUAUCUAUUGUGAUAAUAUUCUACAUUUUUAGGAAUUGUUAUUUUGUUUUAUUUUAUAAGAAUAUAUCUUUAUUUUUUCA